rnacentral:snoRNA from 1 species
UUGUGCCACUGCACUCCAGCCUGGGCGACCCAGCAAGACCCUGUCUCAAAAAAAAAAAAAAAAAAAAGGAUCCUCAGGGCUGCCAACUUUAUAGUAGAAGUUGAGGUGGUAGUGGAUUUCUCCUACACAA